rnacentral:rRNA from 1 species
UACGUAGGGGGCAAGCGUUGUCCGGAAUCAUUGGGCGUAAAGCGCGCGUAGGCGGCCCGAUCAGUCCGCUGUAAAAGUCCAGGGCUCAACCCUGGAAAGCCGGUGGAUACUGUCGGGCUAGAGUCCGGAAGAGGCGAGUGGAAUUCCCGGUGUAGUGGUGAAAUGCGUAGAUAUCGGGAGGAACACCAGUGGCGAAGGCGACUACCUGGCCUGUUCUUGACGCUGAGGCGCGAAAGCUAGGGGAGCAAACGGG